rnacentral:rRNA from 1 species
AUUGAACGCUGGCGGCAUGCCUUACACAUGCAAGUCGAACGGCAGCACGGGGGCAACCCUGGUGGCGAGUGGCGAACGGGUGAGUAAUGCAUCGGAACGUACCUAGUAGUGGGGGAUAGCUCGGCGAAAGCCGGAUUAAUACCGCAUACGCCCUGAGGGGGAAAGUGGGGGAUCGCAAGACCUCACGCUAUUGGAGCGGCCGAUGUCGGAUUAGCUAGUUGGUGAGGUAAAGGCUCACCAAGGCGACGAUCCGUAGCUGGUCUGAGAGGACGACCAGCCACACUGGGACUGAGACACGGCCCAGACUCCUACGGGAGGCAGCAGUGGGGAAUUUUGGACAAUGGGGGAAACCCUGAUCCAGCCAUGCCGCGUGAGUGAAGAAGGCCUUCGGGUUGUAAAGCUCUUUCGGGCGGAAAGAAAUCGC